GGCUGCUUUAAUUUAUCCUCUCCUCGCAUCUCGUCUCCGCCGCCGCCACCGCCGCCGCCGUUCGUCGCUUCCGCGUCUGCCGGCCGCCGCUACCGCCGUUUGCCGCUUCCGCCUCCGCCGGCCGCCGGCCUCCGCCUUUCGCCGCUUCCGCGUUCGCAGGUCGCCGCCGCCGUUCGCUGCCUCCGCUGGCCGCUGCUGUCUCUACCUCUGUCUCAAUCAUGAAUCACCGACUGGAUGUGAGACCAAUAGUAUGGUGCAUCAGGGAUCCAUGAACCAAAUGGUUGAUAGGAAAACCAACUCAUAUAGGAUUCAGAAACCAUCUGUAGCAAUUCUGAAAGGGACUGCGACAAGCUAAGGGCAAUAAUGCUGUUCAAUUUCGAUGCAUUCCUUUUGCUGCCGUGGGUGAUACAAUUGAGAAUGGAUAUUGAAAAUUUCAGAAUGGACACUCAAUGCAUUGGACUGGAUUGAUUGUGUUUCCUGGUGACAUUCCAGGUUCCUAAUUGAAAGCCAUGUCAUUGAAGGCAGCAAACAACACUGUGAAUAUGCCUAAAGAGGAUAGUGUUGAAAGAAUUUACAUCUGAUGAUUCUUUUCUUUUUUGUAACCUGUUGUAGGCAAGUUGUAAGCACUGAAAAAUAUAGGUGCAUACCUGUAAUCUGUGCAAUGUUUUUCUCUGAAAUAUAUAUGUCUGACAUGUUCUCAAAUAUGCUAUUUGAUGGAUGUGUUACAGAAA